GACGAACGCUGGCGGCGUGCUUAACACAUGCAAGUCGAACGGAAAGGCCCUGCUUUUGUGGGGUGCUCGAGUGGCGAACGGGUGAGUAACACGUGAGUAACCUGCCCUUGACUUUGGGAUAACUUCAGGAAACGGGGGCUACUACCGGAUAGGAGCUCCUGCUGCAUGGUGGGGGUUGGAAAGUUUAGGCGGUUGGGGCUGGACUCGCGGCUUGUCAGCUUGUUGGUGGGGUAGUGGCUUAGCAAGGCUUUGACGGGUAGCCGGCCUGGGAGGGUGGCCGGCCACAUUGGGACUGAGAUACGGCCCAGACUCCUACGGGAGGCAGAAGUGGGGAAUAUUGCACGAUGGGCGGAAGCCUGAUGCAGCAACGCCGCGUGCGGGAUGACGGCAUUCGGGUUGUAAACCGCUUUCGCCUGUGACGAAGCGUGAGUGACGGUAAUGGGUAAAGAAGCACCGGCUAACUACGUG
rnacentral:rRNA from 1 species